GCCAUUCUCCUGCCUCAGCCUUCCGAGUAGCUGGGACUAUAGGUGCCCGCCACCACGCCAGGCUAAUUUUUUGUAUUUUUAGUAGAGAUGGGGUUUCACCGUGUUAGCCAGGAUGGUCUCGAUCUUCUGACCUCGUGAUCCGCCCGCCUCGGCCUCCCAAAGUGCUAGGAUUACAGGCGUGAGCCACCGCGCCCGGCAGCAAAUUUUAAGCCAAGAAAUUGAAUGUUGCCAGAACCCCAGGAACCACCCAGCCUCUUCCCAUAUGACCACUUCCCCACACUCUCCACCUUCCUUACUUCUAUGGUAUUGAUGGAUGGUUGGGUGACAUGGACUCCAGUAUGUGCCAUGAAGGAUACGAAGAUGAAGCUGUCAUGAACUCUGCUCUCGAGAAGCUACUGUCAAAGUUUGUUUUUUUUAAACUUGAUAUAUUUGAGGUAGAAUUGACAAGAUUUUAGUAUUGAUGAAAUAAGAUAAAAGGGAUGGUGAAAUUAAUGAUGACUUUAGCCAAAAUAAUUAAUUCAGGUGGGGAGGAGAGAAGGGGAUUGACUGAAUUCUAGUUGACUGAGGCUUACUCAUAGUGGGAAGAGCUGUGAGCCAUGUACUGUUUUAUUUAUUGUUUUGUUUUCGGGUUUUGUUUUUCAAUACCAAAAGUGGAUAUUCAUGGAGUCUGAGAAGCUAGGAUUAGAAAUGCAGUAUGUGACAGCAGAAUGGCAAUGUCAUAAACCGUCACUGUGCUAGGUUCUAGAAAUAAAAUAUAGUUGAUCCUUGAACAACACAGAUUUGAAGUGCCUGGGUCCACUUACAUGCAGAUUUUCAUCCACUUCUGCCAUCCCUGAUACAGCAAGAACAACACCUCCUCUUUCUUCUCCUCCUCAGCCUUCUCAAUGUGAACACCACAAGGAUGAAGACCUUUAUAAUGAUCCAUCUCCACUUAAUUAAGAAUAAAUAUUUUUUCUCUUACUCAUGAUUUUAUUAAUGGUAUUUUCUUUUCUCUAGCUUACUUUAUUAUAAAAAUACAGUAUAUAAUACAUAUAGCACACAAAAUAUGUGUUGAUCGACUAUUUAUGUUAUUGAUAAGGCUUCCGGUCAAAAGUAGGCUAAUAGUAGCUACAUUUUUUGGCAAAUCAAAGGCUAAUUACUUGGAUCUGAUCACUAUACAUUAUGUAUAUCACAACAUCACUAUGUGCCCCAUAAAUAUGUACAAUUAUUGUGUUUAUUUAAAAUUUGGAAAAUAAAAAGUUACAAAACAUUUUUUUAAAAUUUAAAAUUUAAAAGUUCUAUGUGGAUUUUUGAGUGCAUGGGUAAGUUGUCACCCCUAACCCCCGUGGUUCCAGGAUCAACUGUAGUGUGUAUUCUUACUGACUCAAAAUUCUUUAUAUUUAUCUGCUUCUCCACCACUCGCCACUUCAAAUGAACAAUUAACUUGUCAAAGAUUAUUUUCCUCAAUACACAACUUCCUAUUUCUCACUCUCCCUCAUCUCCUCUUUCUUUCUUCUUGCCUCUUAUUAAAACCCAAAAGUUGAUAAGAAAGUGGAAUUAAAGAUAGAAUUUGUGUAUAAAC
ensembl:lncRNA novel transcript